AUGGUCAGUAGUGAGGUGGUGUUUAUUAAUUAGUGUGUGUGAGGUGUAUAUAUGGUCAGUAGUGAGAUGGUGUUUAUUAAUUAGUGUGUGUAAGGUGUAUAUAUGGUCAGUAGUGAGAUGGUGUUUAUUAAUUAGUGUGUGUGAGGUGUAUAUAUGGUCAGUAGUGAGGUGGUGUUUAUUAAUUAGUGUGUGUGAGGUGUAUAUAUGGUCAGUAGUGAGAUGGUGUUUAUUAAUUAGUGUGUGUAAGGUGUAUAUAUGGUCAGUAGUGAGAUGGUGUUUAUUAAUUAGUGUGUGUAAGGUGUAUAUAUGGUCAGUAGUGAGAUGGUGUUUAUUAAUUAGUGUGUGUGAGGUGUAUAUAUGGUCAGUAGUGUGAUGGUGUUUAUUAAUUAGUGUGUGUGAGGUGUAUAUAUGGUCAGUAGUGCGAUGGUGUUUAUUAAUUAGUGUGUGUGAGGUGUAUAUAUGGUCAGUAGUGUGAUGGUGUUUAUUAAUUAGUGUGUGUGAGGUGUAUAUAUGGUCAGUAGUGAGGUGGUGUUUAUUAAUUAGUGUGUGUAAGGUGUAUAUAUGGUCAGUAGUGUGAUGGUGUUUAUUAAUUAGUGUGUGUAAGGUGUAUAUAUGGUCAGUAGUGAGGUGGUGUUUAUUAAUUAGUGUGUGUAAGGUGUAUAUAUGGUCAGUAGUG